GACGAACGCUGGCGGCGUGCUUAACACAUGCAAGUCGAGCGGUAAGGCCCUUUCGGGGUACGACGAGCGGCGAACGGGUGAGUAACACGUGGGUGACCUGCCCUCAGCUCUGGGAUAAGCCUGGGAAACUGGGUCUAAUACUGGAUAUGACUCCACGGUGCAUGUCGUGGGGUGGAAAGCCUUGUGCGGCUGAGGAUGGGCCCGCGGCCUAUCAGCUUGUUGGUGGGGUGAGGCCUACCAAGGCGACGACGGGUAGCCGGCCUGAGAGGGCGACCGGCCACACUGGGACUGAGACACGGCCCAGACUCCUACGGGAGGCAGCAGUGGGGAAUCUUGCGCAAUGGGCGAAAGCCUGACGCAGCGACGCCGCGUGAGGGAUGACGGCCUGG
rnacentral:rRNA from 1 species